rnacentral:rRNA from 1 species
GACGUAGGAGGCGAGCGUUGUCCGGAUUCAUUGGGCGUAAAGAGCACGCAGGCGGUUUGGCAAGUCGGACGUGAAAAUCCGGGGCUCAACCCCGGACCUGCAUCCGAAACUGCCCGACUAGAGGUAGGUAGGGGAGAUCGGAAUUCCUGGUGUAGCGGUGAAAUGCGCAGAUAUCUGGAGGAACACCGGUGGCGAAGGCGGCAUCCUGGACCAACACUGACACUGAGGAGCGAAAGCCAGGGGAGCAAACGGG